GAUGAACGCUGGCGGCGUGCCUAAUACAUGCAAGUCGAACGCAGUGGGGAUGGGUGAGUAACAAGUGGGUAACCUCCCAUCAGAGGGGAUAACACUUGGAAACAGGUGCUAAACCGCUACUGAUGGAUGGCCCCGCGGUGCAUUAGCUAGUUGGUGAGGUAACGGCUUACCAAGGCCACUAGGCAUAGCCGACCUGAGAGUGGGAUCGGCCACACGGGGACUGAGAACCGGCCCAGACUCCUACGGGAGGCAGCAGUAGGGAAUCUUCGGCAAUGGACGAAAGUCGGACCGAUCAACGCCGCGUGAGUGAAGAAGGUUUUCGGAUCGUAAAGCACUUUUGUUAGAGAAGCGGUAUCUAACCAGAAAGCCACGGCUAACUACGUGCCAGCAGCCGCGGUAAUUC
rnacentral:rRNA from 1 species